AAUUCACCUAACAAACUUAAGAAAAUGAGUUGACUCAACUUGCAUAAUUAAGUAUCUAUAAGAGAGAAGUUUCCCAAAGUUCACUGAACUUCUUAGUCAAGUUGGCGCAAGCGCAUUGUUUCCUAACGUAUCAAGGCGAACCGUGGGCUGCAGAUUGAAUUUGUCAGGAGGACAGAAGCCAGUCACCUUCCCUACCUGUAUGCAGCGUGGAGCAAAUGACAACAGCAUUGUCAAAGGAGUGUCCAUUUUCUCACCCGGAUGUAGAGACCCUCCUGACCCAUUACAGGCUUCAUAACGGUCACCAGGGAAAAAGCUGGCUCUGCCUCCACCCCAAGUGCAUGUGCAUCUUUAAGACUUCAGGACGCAGAUGCUGAGGAGGACUAGAGGCAUGAAAAUUGGAAUCUUGACCGUCAUUGAAGGCG